rnacentral:rRNA from 1 species
UACGUAGGCAGCGAGCGUUGUUCGGAGUUACUGGGCGUAAAGGGUGUGUAGGCGGUUGUUUAAGUUUGGUGUGAAAUCUCCCGGCUCAACUGGGAGGGUGCGCCGAAUACUGAAUGACUAGAGUGCGGGAGAGGUGAGUGGAAUUCCUGGUGUAGCGGUGAAAUGCGUAGAUAUCAGGAGGAACACCGGUGGUGUAGACGGCUCACUGGACCGUAACUGACGCUGAGACACGAAGGCCAGGGGAGCAAACGGG